rnacentral:rRNA from 1 species
AGGACGAACGCUGGCGGCGCGCUUAAUACAUGCAAGUCGAGCGAGAACCAGGGCUUCGGCCCUGGGGACAGCGGCGAACGGGUGAGUAACACGUGGGUAAUCAACCCCCGACACCGGGAUAGCCCAGGGAAACUUGGAUUAAUACCGGAUGCUCCAUCUGGCUUUCGAGCCGGCUGGAAAAGGGUAGCUUCGGCCUCCGGUCGGGGACGAGCCCGCGGCGGAUUAGCUUGUUGGUGAGGUAAAGGCUCACCAAGGCGACGAUCCGUAGCUGGUCUGAGAGGACGAUCAGCCACACUGGGACUGAGACACGGCCCAGACUCCUACGGGAGGCAGCAGUAGGGAAUCUUGCGCAAUGGGCGAAAGCCUGACGCAGCGACGCCGCGUGAGGGAAGAAGGCCUUCGGGUUGUAAACCUCUUUCAGGAGGGACGAAGCCACUCGGGUUAAUAGCCCAGAGGGUGACGGUACCUCCAGAAGAAGCCCCGGCUAACUACGUGCCAGCAGCCGCGGU